rnacentral:lncRNA from 1 species
CCGUGAUUAGACCUAGGUCUUGCCCUAAACCCAGCGCACUGGUCUCUAACAUCUCUAGGCAUACUAUCAAACACCCUGAUACGAGAUCCCAAAAUUUGUCUCUUGGCCAAUAUUCGAGCGUCUUUAGAAAUCCCGCAAGUUUACACAUUGUGGAAAACUCUCGAAACAGAUCAUGGAUAUAGCAGUUCACACAGAGUUAGAUUACGAGAUGACAACUCGUAGUCUUCCCUAUACACCCAUAUAAAAUCCCAUCGGCAGCAACACGCCUGAAAACUUCUACAUAUAAACUAGACCGUAAAGGUCUCGCUUGAAAACUAGUCAUAAGAACCUAAACUCCAAGACGAACUACGAAAGGCUUGAUCCCUUUAACAAGGGUACGUAGGCAGCCGUCAUAAGGCGCAGCCCCAAUCUUAUC